rnacentral:rRNA from 1 species
GAUGAACGCUGGCGGCGUGCCUAAUACAUGCAAGUCGAGCGAACGGACGAGAAGCUUGCUUUUCUGUUGUUAGCGGCGGACGGGUGAGUAACACGUGGAUAACCUACUUAUAAGACUGGGAUAACUUCGGGAAACCGGAGCUAAUACCGGAUAAUAUCUUGAACCGCAUGGUUCAAAAGUGAAAGACGGUCUUGCUGUCACUUAUAGAUGGAUCCGCGCUGCAUUAGCUAGUUGGUAAGGUAACGGCUUACCAAGGCAACGAUGCAUAGCCGACCUGAGAGGGUGAUCGGCCACCCUGGAACUGAGACACGGUCCAGACUCCUACGGGAGGCAGCAGUAGGGUAUCUUCCGCAAUGGGCGAGAGCCUGACGGAGCAACGCCGCGUGAGUGAUAGAGAUCUUCGGAGCGUGAAACUCUGUUAUUAGGGAAGAACAUAUGUGUAAGUAACUGUGCAGAUCUUGACGGUACCUGAUCAGAAAGCCACGGCUAACUACGUG